CCUACGGGAGGCACCAGUGAGGAAUAUUGGUCAAUGGGCGCGAGCCUGAUCCAGCCAAGUAGCGUGAAGGAUGACUGCCCUACGGGUUGUAAACUUCUUUUAUAAAGGAAUAAAGUGAGGCACGUGUGCCUUUUUGUAUGUCCUUUAUGAUUCCGGCUCGGCUAACUCCGUGCCAGCAGCCGCGGUAAUCCGGAGGGUGCGAGCGUUAAUCGGACUUACUGGGCGUAACGCGCGCGUAGGCGGUAGGUCAAGUCAAGGGUGAAAUCCCCGCGCGCAACGUGGGAACUGCCUUUGAAACUGGCAAACUGGAGUGUGUGAGAGGAUAGUGGAAGUCCAGGUGUAGGAGUGAAAUCCGUAGAUAGCUGGAGGAACAUCAGUGGCGAAGGCGACUAGCUGGCACAUAACUGACGCUGAGGAGCGAAAGCGUGGGGAGCAAACAGGAUUAGAUACCCGUGUAGUC
rnacentral:rRNA from 1 species